rnacentral:rRNA from 1 species
UAGCAUAUCAAUAAGCGGAGGAAAAGAAACCAACAGGGAUUGCCCUAGUAACGGCGAGUGAAGCGGCAACAGCUCAAAUUUGAAAUCUGGCCCUUGGGUCCGAAUUGUAAUUUGUAGAGGAUGAUUUUGGUGCGGUACCUUCCGAGUUCCUUGGAACAGGACGCCUUAGAGGGUGAGAGCCCCGUACGGUUGGAUGCCUAGCCUCUGUAAAUCUCCUUCGACGAGUCGAGUAGUUUGGGAAUGCUGCUCUAAAUGGGAGGUAAAUUUCUUCUAAAGCUAAAUACUGGCCAGAGACCGAUAGCGCACAAGUAGAGUGAUCGAAAGAUGAAAAGCACUUUGAAAAGAGGGUUAAAUAGCACGUGAAAUUGUUGAAAGGGAAGGAUUUAUGACCAGACUUUUUCUGGGCGGAUCAUCCGGUGUUCUCACCGGUGCACUUUGCCCAGUUUAGGCCAGCAUCGAUUUUCGGAGGGGGAUAAAAGCUUUGGGAAUGUGGCUCCUUCGGGAGUGUUAUAGCCCAUUGUAUAAUACCCUUCUGGGGAUCGAGGUACGCGCUUCUGCAAGGAUGCUGGCGUAAUGGUUAUCAAUCACCCGUCUUGAAACACGGACCAAGGAGUCGAACAUUUGUGCGAGUGUUUGGGUGUUAAACCCUCACGCGUAAUGAAAGUGAACGGAGGUGAGAGCCCGUACGGGUGCAUCAUCGACCGAUCCUGAAGUUUUCGGAUGGAUUUGAGUAAGAGCAUAACUGUUCGGACCCGAAAGAUGGUGAACUAUGCGUGGAUAGGGUGAAGCCAGAGGAAACUCUGGUGGAGGCUCGCAGCGGUUCUGACGUGCAAAUCGAUCGUCAAAUCUGCGCAUGGGGCGAAAGACUAAUCGA